rnacentral:rRNA from 1 species
GACGAACGCUGGCGGCGUGCCUAAUACAUGCAAGUCGAGCGGAACUGGGGGAGCUUGCUCCUUCCAGUUUAGCGGCGGACGGGUGAGUAACACGUGGGCAACCUGCCCUGCAGAUCGGGAUAACUCCGGGAAACCGGUGCUAAUACCGAAUAGUUUGGCGCCUCUCCUGAGGCGCUACGGAAAGACGGUUUCGGCUGUCACUGCAGGAUGGGCCCGCGGCGCAUUAGCUAGUUGGUGGGGUAACGGCCCACCAAGGCGACGAUGCGUAGCCGACCUGAGAGGGUGCACGGCCACACUGGGACUGAGACACGGCCCAGACUCCUACGGGAGGCAGCAGUAGGGAAUCUUCCGCAAUGGACGCAAGUCUGACGGAGCAACGCCGCGUGAGUGACGAAGGUUUUCGGAUCGUAAAACUCUGUUGUGAGGGAAGAACACGUACCAACUAACUAUUGGUACCUUGACGGUACCUCACCAGAAAGCCACGGCUAACUACGUGCCAGCCGCCGCGGUAA